rnacentral:rRNA from 1 species
AUUGAACGCUGGCGGCAGGCCUAACACAUGCAAGUCGAGCGGAGCGGCGGAGGGGGGAGUAAUGCUUAGGUAUCUGCCUGGUAGUGGGGGAUAACGUCCGGAAACGGGCGCUAAUACCGCAUACUAUCAGAUUAGCCUAGGUCGGAUUAGCUCGAUGGUGGGGUAAAGGCCUACCAAGGCGACGAUCCGUAACUGGUCUGAGAGGAUGAUCAGUCACACUGGAACUGAGACACGGUCCAGACUCCUACGUGAGGCAGCAGUGGGGAAUAGUGGACAAUGGGCGAAAGCCGGAUCCAGCCAUGCCGCGUGUGUGAAGAAGGUCUUCGGAUUGUAAAGCACUUUAAGUUGGGAGGCGUUACCAACAGAAUAAGCACCGGCUAACUUCGUGCCAGCCGCCGCGGUAAUAC